GAUGAACGCUGGCGGCGUGCUUAACACAUGCAAGUCGAACGGGGUGCCCAAGAAGGAGGAUUCGUCCAACAGAUUGGGUUACUUAGUGGCGGACGGGUGAGUAACGCGUGAGGAACCUGCCUUUGAGUGGGGAAUAACACAGAGAAAUUUGUGCUAAUACCGCAUAAAGCGGCUGUACCGCAUGGUACUGGUCGCCAAAGAUUUAUCGCUUUUAGAUGGCCUCGCGUCUGAUUAGCUAGUUGGUGGGGUAACGGCUCACCAAGGCGACGAUCAGUAGCCGGACUGAGAGGUUGGCCGGCCACAUUGGGACUGAGACACGGCCCAGACUCC
rnacentral:rRNA from 1 species